rnacentral:rRNA from 1 species
AUUGAACGCUGGCGGCAGGCCUAACACAUGCAAGUCGAGCGGCUGCAGAGUACUUGCUUCUGCAUUCAGCUGCCGACUGGCGGGUAAUUCCUAGGAAUCUCCCUGUUUAUUUUUUCUUAGGUCCGAAAACAGGCGCUCUUACGCUAUUCCUCCAUACGACCUACGUGUGGGAUCUUGGGACCUCCGGCUCUUGCAUGAUUCGAUGUCGGAUUAGCUAGUUGGUGGGGUAAAGGCCCACCAAGGCGACGAUCCGUAGCUGGUCUGAGAGGAUGAUCAGCCACACUGGAACUGAGACACGGUCCAGACUCCUACGGGAGGCAGCAGUGGGGAAUAUUGGACAAUGGGCGAAAGCCUGAUCCAGCCAUGCCGCGUGUGUGAAGAAGGUCUUCGGAUUGUAAAGCACUUUUGUUGGGAAAGAAGAGCAGUAAGUUAAUACCUCGCUGUUCUGACGGUACCAAAAGAAUAAGCACCGGCUAACUUCGUG